AAUGGAGAAGAAGAAGAGGAAGAAUAAGAAGAAACCCUAGAUUUGCAGGAGAUAAGCGUCAUCGAUCGAUCGAGAUAUGGAGACGACGAAUUAAGAGGAGUCGAAAGAAUGCAGGAAAAGAAUUAAAUCCAAAUGUAUAGUUUUUCUUGUUGCCGAACUAUUGAGAGUUUUCUUUUGGAGAGAUUCUUUCUUCAUUUCAAAAA